UCCACCUACGGCGAAACGCUCUCCUCGUCGUCUCCUUCACCUCCAUCUCUGUUGGUCCCUUUUCCCUCACAACCGGCUUCGUCUCUGUCACCAGCGUGACUUGACUGUCUCCACCAUCCUCCACGAUAACUCACCUUCAUCUCUUCCUACUCGACAAACCCGAAAUCGUUUUCACCUCAAUCACAUCCGGCUUCAACUACAAGUUACUCUAAUCUAUUGUUUGAAAUUGUUUCCUCUUAGGGUCUGAUGAGAUACGUACGUGAUAUUGGCAAGAUAAUAGUAACAGUUCCAGGACAACUUUUCUGGGAAGAAAAACAACAAUUUCUUGAUGAAACAGUUCGGAAGAGGCAAUGCUAAUGUUUAAUUUAGCAAAGAGAGCAACAACCUCUGCAAACUCAACUGUUACAAGUACUCUGGUUUAGCGUACCAGAAGACGGUGACGAUCCAGGUAGCUGACAAGGAGAAAGAUGUGGAACUUGGAACCACCAAGACAAAGAAACAAAACAAGCUUACGCUCUAUGUUAACAAGUUUAUAGGUUAUAAAGCUUUUUCAUGGACAGUUUAGUUUCUUGCUUGCAACACCUCCAUUGUUAUGUUCUUUUUCUCAAAAUUAUAUUAAAAAGAAAGUAGUCAGCUGGUUGCUGUCCACAUUCA